CGGGGCUUUAUCGCGGAGAAACUAUGACCCAUGACCCCUACAUGGCAGCUAGCUUUCGAUGAAUCAGCUCGAGCAAACGCUCAAAAUUUCCCCCUGCAAAUUAAGAUAACUAGAUGUCUGGAGUACGAAAUUCAUUUGGCUAAACACCAAGUACUGUCAUCUUAACCAUGAGUUCAAUUAAAGUAACACAUGGCUCAUCUCACAAGUAUGCAGUGCAGGGAAAGAGGACCAAAGAUGCAUUAUCAAGGGAGGAGCAAGAUCUGUUUGAGCUAUGCAGUCUAGCAGGGGUGGAUAUAAGCCCUGCUGUUUUUAGGAUUAUUUUGGAUCUACUCCGGAUGAAUGUGUCUCCUGUUGCAAUUGUCCAGAUGUUAAAAUCAAUGGUGCAAAGAAGUGCCAAGAGUUCAACCACUUCGACAUUUCAAACUGUAUCUAGUAUGCAGACACCAUCUUCAUAUGUCACUGAACCUUCAAAGAACAGCAGCACAGCCAUGACGUCUGGUGCCUUAAAGACAAAAGAGAAUCAGCAUAGCAGCAAGCUGGGCAUGAAAACAACAAGGUCCAGACCACCUGCAAAGUAUUCACACAAGACCUGAAGUGUUUAUACAAAUGUAUAUGCAUGUACAUGUACAGUAUUUAACACUAUUUAAAGUGUAACAACUUUAAAACUGUUUGAUGCAACUUGAGUGUAUCUAAGUGCACGCUACAGCCCUAAAUGGACACAAAGAAAUGGUUUUAUUGCAAGAAUAACUGCCUCAUAGGGAGCAGUGGAAUAGCGUUUGAGUGGGUUGACAUUCCUCCCCAACAACGUUCCCCAACAUAAAGAAAAGCGGAAAGAAAAAUAGCCAUUUCAUCUCACUUUAAUGCAUUUUCACAGCUCAUAACAAAGUCUAAGUAGACCCAAAACGACACAAAACGUUAGUAAUUAGAUACUACAUGUAUGUCCCGUCAAAAUUAGACCCGCCUCAAAAUGGUGUACAUGUUUGUAUUUGCUAUGGCUCACUUCACUUUCAUUUUCAUGCUGGCCAUUAGUUUUUUGCCCAGACAUCAUUUAUUUGAAAAAGAAUUAGCUGUAAGCAACCUGCUUAUAGUAUACACGUGCAUGUACAUGCAUGUAUGUACAAGAAGUACUCGCAACGGAAUUCAUUCAUUCAUUUACAUGAACAAAGAAAGAUGGCAUGAACAAUUUGUUCAAUUACAUGUGUAUUUUGGCAUUCUUGCAGAAACCGACGUUAUUGUGUUGAGCUUAUUUACGUACAUUUUGCUUCAGUACUAGCACUGUAUGCACUUAAUGGUGAAGACAGAAUUCCAUGGUAAAUUACACCCAUAUUAUUUAGCAGAAAGUCCUCAAGUUUGUCAUUUGUGCCUGCCUUUGCUUUAUUUACUUCACUUUACACUUCACAAAUAGUCCAAGUAAAAGGCCAAGUGUCUUCACAUUUCACCAAUAUUUUUUUUACAACAAAAUGUUUCCCAAAGCAAGGUCUAGCAGAUCACAGAAUAUGGACACUACGUGUUCAUUUUAUUUUUGUUUUGUUCAUUUGUAAAGAACAAAUGAGUGUUUUUGACAGGAAGACUGAUGUCAUCAACCAUAUUGCACAUGAGAAGCGGCAGUAGUCUAACAUAAUGAGGCACAUUACAUGUGUCUUCAUCAAUUUCUAUGGCUUGGGAUCCAGAAGUUGAGGUGUGGGUAAAAGUUAUUCAAACAUGAAAACAGUAUGAGGCGUGAAGAGUAGUUUAGACUGGGUGCCAACUUGCAUUCUCUGUGAUUUGAUUGCAUGUACAUGUAUGCAUUUAUAAACAGAUGUUUGCAAUACGAACAUUAGUCCGGUCAAUUUAGAACAAAACAGGGCCUGACCUAGAACAAAUUGCAAUAGAAUUUAUUUUAAUGUGACCACGCUAAGGAAAUAUCACUAUUUAACAUACUGAAAAUCUAAUUUCAUCAAAGGAGUGGGAAAGUGUUUUCAUUCACUUUUUCACUACUAAUUUUUCAUAAUACGUAAACAGCCGUAUGGAGAGCGUCAUGUUUUCUUUUGCGCCCUUUACUCGUCAGAAAAUCCGUUCACAUCACGUAUGAGACUUUGCGAGACACGACUGAUCACAGCAGACGACUUUUCUAUGUCCACCAAUUAUUAAAACACUGCCGCACAAUACUAAAGGAUAUUUUUUUGACAAAAUCAAGAAAUUUGAGAUUGUUGUGCUUCCCGAAAUAUUUUUAGGUUAAUAUAAAUCACUUUGUGCCCCCCAAAAAACAUUUGUUUCAUAGAAAAUCUUUGCAUAAAGAGGUCUACUUGAAUAAAAGGCGGAAAAUGAUAUACACAAAGAGAUCCAUUUAAAUUUAAAUUUCAGGUGUCUACGCCAAUAGGCCAGAGUCCAAUUUUAAAUAUUAGGGAAAAUAUCUGAAAUCCGAGAUUCGUGUGUUCCUUCUGUGUUAAAUUUAGGUCAUUGGCAUAACUUAUAAAUAAGAUAUAAAUUGUCAAAAAAAACCCUUACUAAAGCCUGGCAAAUUAACAGGAUUAAAAUUUUGCAGUGAAAUUAUUUUUUUUGCUGAAUUCUGCGCUUUAGAGAAAAGAAAUAUAUAGUGUAAAAAGUGUAUUACGUCUACAAAUAAUACAAGUUUCCCCAGAUCAAAGCCUUGGGGGGGGGGGGGGGGGGGGGGACGGACCGUGCCAGUGAGAUCAUUUUUUAAAGUAAUACUAACGCGAGGUCUGUUCAAUCCAAAGAAUCCUUUUGUCGGGACUCUAGUAUGCUUAUCUGGUGUAGUUCAUUUCACUCUUGACUGUACAAGCAGAUGUCUCAAUUACUUUUCGUACCUCAAUUAAGAUGAUCUCAAUUUAGCUGUUUAAAGUUACUGUACCGUACUUAUGAAAAACAUGGAAAGCUCAUGUACAGAACUACAUCUGUUUCUCAUCAACCUCGCCCAUUAACUUUUUUUCUUUGUGAUCGAAGUGUUUUGUGAUGUUUUGUUUCAUAUUUUCAUGUACUAACAAAAUGCACUGUAAGCUUCACAACCUGAGCCCAGUAAUUCCUGAAUUUUCUUAACCAAAUCCAACAUCAUUUUCAGGCGCUCAAUCAAUAAUAUUUAAUUAAAGAUCUCGCUUUACUUUACAAACGGUCCAUGCAUGCACUGUCCAACCGUUUACCAGCUGUAUGAUCAGAAUGAUGUUUAGACAUCCCCGGCCCUUUUUGCAAAUAAUUGUUUCUCGUCAGUGGACUUAUUGCGCAAAGUUUCGGCGGAAAGUCGUCCACUCCAUCCGUAGUGCCCUGUAUAAAAUUAUAAUUUGAAACAGUCGUCUGCUGCAAAAGCAUGUGGUCAUGAAUCCUAAACAAUAUAUAGACAUGUAAAUCGCAGCAAGUCACCAGACGAAUUGUUCGAGGACAAAAUGUCUCAAAUUUGUUAUCUGAAAAAAAUGUUUGAAAAACACCCUUCCACUCCAUAGAAACAAGAUUUUUCACAUGUUGUUUGUGUAUUUAUGAAAGUCGUUUGACGCUUGAAUGGUUUCUAUUGCAAUUUGUUCUAGGUCUUAACUUGAAUUGACCGGACUACAUGACAGGUAUGAAUAUAGACAGUGCCUCUCUUCGCUGCUCCCUCAUCCAUUAUAGAGUGAUUCAUUCGGCCCCACCCAUUGUAGGCAAUGACACGUGUCUCUAUGCACUCUGUGCACAAACAGUAGAUGGUGCUUUUUGACCACCUUUUUCAGGAGCUCCAGUUGAGCACACCACGCACAUCAGACGCCAUCAGGAAUGUGUUAAAAUGUAAGGGACAUCAAGACUGGGAGAGCCCAGUGCUAUCCCCCAAUUGCUCUUUGUAACCAUGAAGGGGGUACUUGUGCACAGAGCCCAUAAUGCCGCAUACGUUAAGAUUUACACACAUUCAUUGUGAAGUAAAAAGAACUUCUGAAAACACAAAUUACAUUGAAUAUAAGUGUAGGCCUUUAUAUUGAUAACACAUAACUUCUGGUUUGAUGACGUCACAACAUUAGGAAAAUUGCCCAAGGUCAACAUUGUAGCUGAUGUUGUUACGUGUGCUACAAACGUCAUCACUCAACCUGAAUCAAAUGAAGGAUUUGAAUUUUAGAAUUAAAGAAAAGAAACCAUAUCAUUUUCAAAUUCUCCCUACAUAUAAGUUCUGGUCUGAUGAGAUUGGGAUCCUGAAACCUCGCAAAAUUCAUUUGCAGUUGUCCAAAGAAUAUAUAAGGGUAAUUUGGUAUAAUUUCGAUAAAUGGCUUUAAAUUUAGAAAAAAAUCAAGUGUCUUUGACAUGCCGCUAGAGGGCGCCCUUUUGGGAAAUGAUGUCAUCAUGUCGAUAUUUGUGUUGGGCAUUACUGAUCAU